rnacentral:rRNA from 1 species
GCAAGUCGAGGGGUAACAUAGAGAAGCUUGCUUUUCUGAUGACGACCGGCGCACGGGUGCGUAACGCGUAUGCAACCUACCUCUUACUGGGGAAUAGCCCGGAGAAAUCCGGAUUAAUGCCCCAUAGUAUUGUCGAUUCGCAUGUUUUGACAAUUAAAGGUUACGGUAAGAGAUGGGCAUGCGUCCUAUUAGCUAGAUGGUAAGGUAACGGCUUACCAUGGCAACGAUAGGUAGGGGGCCUGAGAGGGUGAUC